GGAGGUAAAAGCAGUAUUAGGAUAUAUAUAACCAAAUCCCCUAAAUCCAACAUCAACAAUUAGUGUACUUGUUUCAACAGAUGCUCUGUGAUAUGUAAUGUACAUCCACCGGAUGCCAUGUGGUGUCUCACUGUUCAAAGCUUAUGCAAUAUCCGAACAUUCUGAUCUCACCUCAACACGCUCCUGGUCUUUGAGGUCGUAAAUGCCUCCAGAAGUCUGAACAUCCACCUAUCGAGCAUUCCUGUCACAGCAAAU
rnacentral:misc_RNA from 1 species